AACUUGCCUGCAUGAUCAAGUGACGAUCCUGAGAGAGAAGUCGAACCAUUUCCACAUAGCCGCCUUCAGGCGGUGGGCAUAACUCAUCCAGGGAGAUGAGAUGGAUUGAGUUGUGCGAGUCCGAUUCAACAAUAAGGGGAAACCAGACCGCAUUAAUGGCAAGGUCAAGACCAGUCUUUAACGCAAACAGUUUCGUAGCCAAAACUGACACAAGUAUGGGACUAGGCAUAACAACAUGCCCCAUUAGACCUCCAUGGAAAUCACGAACAAUCGCACCUACAUUCCUUCUACCAUCGGUCAAGUUCAAACCACCAUCCAAAUUUAACUUGAACCAUCCUUUCUACAUAGGGAGCUAGAUAGAACUUUGCACCUAUAAAGGAACGCUCAUAUGGCGAUAGAGUUUAACAUUUCUGAACUCAACAACAUAGUCCUUCACACGUCGGAUUAACACAUCGAAUUCCACACCCUUGGCCUCGAACACAAUUUGCUUUCUGUCAAACCAAAGCCACCAAAUCCCAGCUGCAAACAAGGGAAAGAUUAGAGGUGGAAUUGAGUCCCAAACUUCUCUCAACCAAUCAGUGAUCGCCACCGUACUGGAGCACCAAACAGAACUGGGAAACCCUAGCUUCUCCCAGAACCUCGUGCAGAAGUAGCAGUCACGGUGUGCAUGAAGAGCAGAUU
rnacentral:lncRNA from 1 species